CAACGCUCUCUCUCUCUCUUGGCCCAACUCCAGUCGGAACAAAAAAACAGACUGAUCAAGCACAGCCCCAAGAUGCAUUGUGCUUUUCUUACUUUCUUAUUUCAUGUCAAGCCACAUAUUUCUUUGGAGAUGUUGACCCCUAGAACUCUAUUGUGUUAUUCAUCCAGUCAUAUCCAGUAUCAGAAGACCAGAUACUCAUCCUCCUGAGCCAUUUGGCCGUAAUGCUCCGUCAGAUAAAGUUGCACUGGGUCAUGGUUAGCUAAUCCUGGGGGAAACAUAAAAAUACAUUGUUGAAACCUUGAAGGUCUCUCUGUCGCUCUCUCUCUCUCUUUCUCUCUCUCUCAUCGACAGACGCACCGCUUGUAUUCCUCCUAAGGAUUGCUCCAUCGUUUAAUCUGAUCCAUAAUUGAGCCGUAUUGAGAUGUUUUCCUUUUAUCGCCUGUUAACAAGUCACGGUGUUGCAUUCCUCGCAACCCGAGACACUCAGAGAGACAGUCGUAGAGGUGCUGGAAAAGAGGGAGAGAGGCUGGAGGUAGAAGUGAAGGUGCAGGAGAGGGGUGUCUGGGCUCAGUUGAUGCAUGGAGGUCCUUUCUCCAGAGAGGAGUGGGAGUUGAGCAGAGGGGAAGUGGAGAGACAUCUCUGUAAACAGUGGAACCCUUUGAAGAGCUCUCCCCUUCACUGGUGUCCAAGACCUGCUGCCUCUCCCCCUCCACCCUGUCUUGUUGCCUGGUGUUGUUUUAAGGUCUUAAUACUAACCCUGGUUAUCAGACUGAGUGCCAUUGAGAGAUGUUGAGGCUGAAUACAUCCUGAAAGAAUAGUGUUGAUGGACAGCUCUCCCUCUCCACACUGCAAUGACAACAGCAGAAACAAUACACAACCUUUGGUGUUACACACUCAGUCACUCUCUCUCUUAUUUUUACAUUUUAGUAAUUUAGCACAUGCUCUUAUCCAGAGCAACUUACAGUAGUGAGUGCAUACAAUCUUAAUACUUUUUCAUUCUGGUCCCCCAUGGGAAAUGAAUCCACAACCCUGGCAUUGCAAGAGCCAUGCUCUACCAACUGAGCCACACGGGACUUAUCCUCUCCUUCCCUUUUUUAUACUCUAAUUACAUCCAGGUCACCCGUGAUACAAGUCAAUGUUCGACGUCCAUCCACAUCUGACGACGUCGGGAAAUUAUGUGUAAACCGGCCACUAGGAGCAAUAGUGAGCACUGUUACCUUCAAGAAGGUUUUGGUUUUGCUAUGGUGUUGUGUUGUGGACGGGGAUUGGGCGUAAUCAUCUGCCUCUGAUUUCAAAGGUUGCAAGUUCAAAACCAGCAAUGGAAAGUAUUUUUGUUUUUAAGGGUAUCCCAAACUUUCAACCUUACCUUAACCAUUUGGAGUUACUGCCUAACCUAAGAAUUUGGAGUUAAUGCCUGAGGUUAACCGCUAACCUUAAACAUUUGGAGUUAAUGACAAAACCUAACUUUAAACACUUUGAAAUUUGACAUUUGGAACAACUUCUGAAUUUGACGUUUAAGAAACAUGGAUGAAAGUCUAAUUCUGACGUGAGACUGUGGGAGCUGGUAGCUCGAUUGCUCCUUUUCUCCUUUCCUCCCUCUCUCUCUCUCUCUCUCCCUCGCCCUCAUCCAUGCCCAUUCAUAACUGGCUCAAGUUGGCAUAGGGGAAUUCUCUGUAGGUUGUCAUCAGGCCGUCACUAAAGACAAACACAGACACACACACACACACACACAGAGAGUCAGGCAGCCCUCCAGUAUUCCCUCAACAUCCUGCACUCUGCCAUAUCGAAGCCAGUUAAGCGAAUAGCGUUUGGAAACUUCACAGAGAUCCCAAUUCAUCAAGAUGCCAAUCACAAUAAGAACACAGAGGGCUGUAGUAGUUGGACUCAGACACACUGACGAACAUAAUAUGAGAAGAGCGUUACAGCCUCUGGUAUGAAUAACGUUUUUUUUUUUCCCUCAAAUUCUCUCAGAUGAAACAGCAGCAUGACAUGCGUUCUCCUUCAUCUGUUGAGACACGGUGCUGGUAACAUUUGUCCACAUUCUCUGAUCAAAGCCUUGCCAUUUUUCACCCUUUUUUCCCCCUUAACCCCCCCAUCGGAGGACACAAAUAUAUUUUUUGUUUUUUUUACAGCUUUUUUGCUACUUAUACAUGCAUUGUACAUAUAGAUUUUACAUACAUGGUACUUUUAUAUAAAGCAAUCACAUAACAAUAAUACAUUACCGAACAUGAGCUCUUUAAUCCCACCCCUCAGCCACUCUCAGCCCAUCCCACCUAUCACUGCAGACCACCCUCGUUUGGUUUUCAUGUGCCAUAUAUUUUUCAAAUUGUGCUGUGAUGUUUUACAUGGAUUUUGAACAUUUUAAUCACAUAGUAUCCAAAGCCUUGUCAUUGAAUGUGAUGUGUUCCUAUGGACUCAAACUGCCUUGACCAUCACGUUGUUGCUUCAUAUCACUACCAAACACACAGCCAAGUGAACACAGACAAAGUAAUGCAGUGAUUCAUAUGAGGAGUGUACGUUGGGAUAUGACCAGUUAACCAUCCACAGUCCCUGGAAGAUAUCCAUUACUUCAUGCCAGACACAGUCAGAAUGGACUCAAUUAAAGAGGGAAUUUGUCCCAAAUAGCAGCCUAUCGCCUAUAUAGUGCACUAUUUUGGACCAAAAGUAGUGCAUUAUAAAGGGGAUAGG
rnacentral:lncRNA from 1 species